rnacentral:lncRNA from 1 species
CCAUACAUCCCUAAGAACACUUAUUGAUUGGCCAUUGCCGAUGGACCACUGAAUAUUGGCUAUCACCAUCAAGGCAUGAGCAUAAAUCUCUUUUCAGAUAAAGAAAUUGUUACUACACAUCUUGAUAUCAUCAACCACUAUCUAAGAGCCAUACUUGGCCCUCACUAUAGAACGUCAAAGACUCUCUGGCUCCAGUAAAUAUCUAGCCACAUGUUGGGUCAAUAGAGCUUCUCUCUCAGUCAUCAAAUAUUGGAUGCCAAGGCCACUAUCUCAAAGUGACUGACAUAUUUAUGUCCCAUGCC